UUCCGGUUGAUCCUGCCGGAGGUCAUUGCUAUUGGGGUCCGAUUUAGCCAUGCUAGUUGCGCGACUUAGAUCGCAGCGGAAAGCUCAGUAACACGUGGCCAAACUACCCUGCAGAGGAGCAUAAUCUCGGGAAACUGAGGCUAAUACUCCAUACCGCACUCACGUUGGAACGACCGAGUGCUAUAAACGCUCCGGCGCUGCAGGAUGUGGCUGCGGCCGAUUAGGUAGACGGUGGGGUAACGGCCCACCGUGCCGAUAAUCGGUACGGGUUGUGAGAGCAAGAGCCCGGAGACGGAAUCUGAGACAAGAUUCCGGGCCCUACGGGGCGCAGCAGGCGCGAAACCUUUACACUGCACGACAGUGCGAUAAGGGGACCCCAAGUGCGAGGGCAUACAGUCCUCGCUUUUGUGUACCGUAAGGUGGUACACGAAUAAGAGCUGGGCAAGACCGGUGCCAGCCGCCGCGGUAAUACCGGCAGCUCAAGUGAUGACCGAUUUUAUUGGGCCUAAAGCGUCCGUAGCUGGCCGCGUAGGUUCGUCGGGAAAUCCAUCCGCUCAACGGAUGGGCGUCCGGCGAAAACCACGUGGCUUGGGACCGGAAGGCUCGAGGGGUACGUCCGGGGUAGGAGUGAAAUCCCGUAAUCCUGGACGGACCGCCGAUGGCGAAAGCACCUCGAGAAGACGGAUCCGACAGUGAGGGACGAAAGCUGGGGUCUCGAACCGGAUUAGAUACCCGGGUAGUCCCAGCCGUAAACAAUGCCAAUUAGGUGUGGCACCGACUACGAGUCGGUGCUGUGCCGUAGGGAAGCCGAUAAAUUGGCCGCCUGGGAAGUACGUCCGCAAGGAUGAAACUUAAAGGAAUUGGCGGGGGAGCACUACAACCGGGGGAGCCUGCGGUUUAAUUGGACUCAACGCCGGU
rnacentral:rRNA from 1 species